UAUGCUGUACUAUGCUGUCAUGGCUGUGACAACUGUGAUGUCACCAAAGGAUGGGACAUUUCAACUUACUGUGACCUGAAGGGUUCAGUGCUGAGGAUGCCAUUGGUCACAUGCUCAUGUCAAUGUAGGCAUCACCCUGCUUCAUCUGUGGCUUUCCCAAGUGCCCACCAUGCCACACUAUUCCUCAGAGGGCUCUGUUAUUUCCAUCUUGUGUUUCUUUUUUCCUAUCUGCUUGGUAAUUUCUUGGCUUCAGGAACACCCCUUGGUCUACCUCCUUCUUUUGACUUUUUUUUUUUUUUUUUUUUGGUGUUAUUGGUGGUUUGAAUGAUAGAUGUCCCUCUACACUCUCUGGCAUUUGAACACUUGGCCCCCAGUUUGUAUACUGUGUCUGUAUAUGCAUACACAUGCACACACAUGCUUAGGUAUGCCCUUGCUGGAGGAGGUAUGUCACUGAGGCACAUUUUGAGAGCUUAAAGACUUGCACCAUUUUGAAUUUUCUGUUCACUUGCAGCUUGAAAAUUGAAAUUCAGGCUUAAAGCCAUUCCUGUUGCCAUGCCUGCUGCCAUGCUUCCCUCCUGUGAUGAUCAUGCUUCUCUCUCUGGAACCUUAAACCCAAAUCCUUCCUCCACACAUUCCCUUGGUCAUGGAGUUUUAUCACAGCAAUAGAAAUGUAACAAGUACCAGGAGUUGGGUUAUUGCAGUGACAGACCUGACUAUGCUGGUUUGUUUGUUUUUUGUUUGUUUGUUUUU
rnacentral:lncRNA from 1 species